UAGCCUGGUAGCAAUACUAGGUUGAGUCAGUGGCGAACGGUUGCGUAACACGUGAGUGAUCUGCCUGAAAGUGGGGGAUAGCUCGCCGAAAGGCGAAUUAAUACCGCAUGUGCCCCGAAGCAAUUCGGGGUAAAGCCGGGGCAACCUGGCGCUUGUAGAUGAGCUCGCGGCCUAUCAGCUUGUUGGUAAGGUAACGGCUUACCAAGGCUUCGACGGGUAGCUGGUCUGAGAGGACGACCAGCCACACUGGAACUGAGACACGGUCCAGACACCUACGGGUGGCAGCAGUCGAGAAUUUUUCUCAAUGGGGGAAACCCUGAAGGAGCGACGCCGCGUGGAGGAUGAAGGCUUUCGGGUUGUAAACUCCUGUCAUUUGGGAACAAUACCUUACGUUAACUGCGUGGAGGUUUGAUAGUACCAGAAGAGGAAGAGACGGCUAACUCUGUGCCAGCAGCCGCGGUAAUACAGAGGUCUCGAGCGUUGUUCGGAUUCAUUGGGCGUAAAGGGCGCGUAGGCUGCGGGGCAAGUCGGGUGUGAAAUCUCAGAGCUCAACUCUGAAACUGCACUCGAUACUGCUUUGCUUGAGGACUGGAGAGGAGAUUGGAAUUCUCGGUGUAGCA
rnacentral:rRNA from 1 species